rnacentral:lncRNA from 1 species
CGCCACAUGCCAAUGACAGGGUCGGUGCUCCGCUAGGCGCCAAGGGCUGGGCCGACGAACCCGGGUUUCACUGGUGGAAGGAUAAAGAGGCCGAGAUCCUCAGCGACAUCGAGCCCAUCAUCGCCCGGGUUUGGUUAUUGUUUUCGUUUUGGAAUCUUGGCUCUAUUCUCUGCUACUAUUUGAGGAUCCUCUGCUUGCUUGUCUCUUCCCUUUUGCUAUGUAGGAAAGCUGAAAGAGAUCACAUUCUAGAAAAUUUGUAUUUGACCUGGCUCUGUUAUAUGCAUCUUUCACUUGAUCCAUAUUUAUACAAGCAAUUACAUACCUCAGUCUCACAUUUGUUCCAUUAUAGGAUUCACAAGGCAUCUUAAUAGAAGAGAACUCAAAUGGGUAUGUUUUCUUUUCAUAGAUUUCACAAGGAACAUCUAAUUCACCCACUGCAGAGAAGAACAAUAAUACAUUCAACAUAGGAAGAUACUGUAGAAAGCAAUGAGAAUAUUGAAAUGAUUGAUUAGAAUUUUGGACCUAUCUAAAGCAUUUGACACUAGAUUGAAGUUCUAGCAGUGAACUUCUCAUAUUUGACAUUUCCUCCGGCAAACGCUGUAUUGUUACGAAAAGUAUGCUGGCACUGUAUGGAAUACUACAAUAAACUGAAAUUAUGGCAAAGUAGAAGUUAUGGCACUGUAUGGAAGAUAGAAUUUAAGAUACCAUGAGUGGCAGCCAGAUAAACAUCUAGAGGGUAGUAAACUUUAUUCGAAGAAGACAGCACCUAUAUAUGUGAGCAGUUAUUUCAAAGAGAACUAGUGAACCACAUGAUAUGGUUGGUGCAUCUAGAUGGCUUCCAUAUUGCUUAACAAGAGAAUAAAAUCAAUUCCUACAGGUAUGAGACAAAAAAAUCAACUCCUAGACUCCUAAUAAUCAUUGCUGAUGGUCUUCGUUUCAGUAUAUAUAUGCAACUGAAACUGCAUUUUCGCCUAUAGCAGAUCCAUCUAGUCAUUAAUAAACAAAUCAAAGGAAGUAUUACAUAUAUUGGAGGAUAUCACAAUAUAAACAGCAUAUGAACUGAUCUACUUAUGCCAUGAGGGGGAGAUAUUGAAGACUAUUUAGAUAAUAAAAACGUAAAACUGAUAGAGCACCAGAGCAAUGAAAGCAAUUCUUCUUUUUUUUUUUUUUUUUUUUUGAUUAAACAGGGAUGAACCCUAUUUACAGAAGCGUUUAGACGAAAACAAAUCACGAGUAAUGAUACCCGAGCACACCCCCAUGCACGAUACAGAGAAUAUCCCAAUCCCACCCUCGGCACUAGCUCUAACAAAGCAGAUCCCGCGCACACCUCCAGACAAAAACACAAGCACACUAGCACAAGCACAACUAGCACACCUAUAACCUAGUUGACAGAGGUAAAGAACACCAUUUUCCAAUAAGAUACAGUUUGAAGAAUGUUUGAACCCAGUGUCUCGUAGCGGGUUCGACGAUUGUCGAAUAGUCUUCUAUUACGCUCCUUCCAAAUCUCCCAAUAGGCUGCUGCGAUUCCGAGGUCGAGAGUGGUUCGAUUUUCACCUGAGACCGUUCGCCGCAAUCGACGCCAUCGUGUUGCAAGUCCUUCAGUUGUGUUGCUUCUCCAAUCUAGGUUGAAAGUGAGUCUAUUUGUUAACCAAUCCCACACAGAAACUGCAUAGAAGCAGUAAUGCAUAAUAUGCUCGACGGGCUCCGCAUCGGAGUGACAGAGGGUGCAGAUUGUCGGGCCAUACCAACCAUGUUUGAGAAGGUUGUCAGCCGUAAGAAGUUUGUUCCGAUCAGCAAGCCAUAGGAAAAUCUUAACUCUGAGAGGAAUUUUGAGGUUCCAAAGGAAAGGGAAAUUGCAGUUGUUGAUGCCAUCAAACAAAAGAAAUUCUGCCGCGCUGUGUACCGAGAACUUUCCCGAGCUGUUCCAUCUCCAAGAUAGCUCGUCGUGUUUGUUGGUUGAGAGGACUAAGUUAUUAGACACCGCCGCUAAGUCAUGAAUUUCUGAUAGCUCUUGUGGACCGCUAAGAGAGUCGAACCCCAGAUUCGGCUGAUUAGAGAAGCAGCGACACCAGGUAUUGACUGUCAUAAUAGAAUUGGCAGAAGCAGCAUAGAGAAUAGGAAAGCGGUUUCUUAGUUGUAUGUCUCCACACCAUCUCGUGGACCAAAAGGGCGUAUCCUUAUCGUCGCCAAGGAUGAAAUCAACAGAGGUGAGGAAAGGGGCAUAGAGUUUAAGCAUGUAUUUCCAGAUCGGGCAGCAUCCGUAAGGAAUGAAGCUAGCUGAAGCAGCUGGUCUCCGUCUAUAGUGUUCCUGCUUCAAAAGCCGCACCCAUGGUAACGAGCCGCAGUUAUGGAACUUCCAAAGCCCCUUCAUCAAUAUGGCCGAGUUUAUAGUUUUAAGCUUGUAGAUCCCUAUCCCCCCCUGCUCUUUUGGGGCGACAUACAUGAUCCCAAUUAGCAAGACAAUGGAAACCGCUCGUAGUAGACUUGCCUUUCCAGAAGAAGCCUCGACGAAUCCUGUCGAUCGCACGCAUCACCCAAGCUGGAAGAGCAAAUGCGGAGCAAAAAUAAAUUGGCAAAGGCGGAGAGGACCGAGUUCAGCAGAAUUAAGCGCCCACCUCUGGAUAGAGUGGCACAUUGCCAACCGGACAAGAUCUCGUGUCCAAUGGCUACGGGAAGGGGAUGCAAACACGAAGUUCUUCCACCUCCGGGCUAGCUGCCACAGAAGCGCGAACUUUAUCUCUCAGCUUUCGGACGGUACACAUCCCCUAUCCUCUUCUGAUUCUAUUGCUAAUCACCUGCGCUCCUUCUACCUUAAUCUGAUUGGCUCCGAGCAACCACCCACCUCUUCUGUCAACUUUUCUGCUAUUUUCAACGAAGUAGGCUGCGACCUCUCCUCCCUUCACGGUCCUUUCUCGGUUGAAGAAGUGAAGUCUGCUAUCUUUGCUUGUGCACCGGACAAGGCUUCGGGACCGGACGGUUUCCCCUUGCUUUUCUACCACCGGUUCUGGUCAAUCCUGAAGAAUGAUAUCAUGGAAGUCUUUGACAGCUUCUAUAAUGGCUCAUCGGAUCUUCGUGGAAUCAGCACCAGCUGGAUCUGCCCGAUUCCUAAGAAACCGACGGUGUUGACGGCUAGAGAUCUACGUCCGAUCAGUUUAGUUUACAGCUUGGCCUAAAUACUUUCCAAAGUAUUGGCUUCUCGGCUUCAACCCUUCAUGAAUCAGCUCAUCAACCCUUAUCAGGCAGCCUUCAUCAAGGGCCGUUACAUUUUAGACAACUUCUGUUGUGCGCACAUCCUAACUCACCACCUCCAUGCCUCUAAACGUCAUGCGGCUCUCUUAAAGAUCGACUUCGAACGAGCUUUUGAUCAUAUCAACUGGAGCUUUCUCUUCGAUCUCCUCAACGCCAGGGGUUUUAGCGACAAGUGGAUUGGUUGGAUCAAAGCUCUCCUGAGCUCUAAUACGUCGGAUGUGCUCCUCAACGGUGAUCCGGGCAGGUCGUUCUCCUGCAAACGUGGGCUUAGACAGGGAGACCCUCUGUCCCCACUUCUUUUCGUACUUUGUAUUGAUGUGCUUUUCAAACUGAUCGAGAAUGCUGUCCGUGCCGACUGCAUCCCUGCCGUCGGAAUAGGUGAUGUUAAAAUUCACUCUCUCCAAUUCGCGGACAACGUCCUCCUCUUCUUUGAUGGCUCUAUCAGAUCUGCGGAUAUUAUAAGGAUUCUACUUGAAGCCUUCUCUGCAUGUUCCGGGCUCAAAAUCAACUUCGGCAAAAGCUCCUUGGCUCCGAUCAACCUCCCUACGGAACAGGCUGCUGCUAUAUCUAGUAUACUUGGAUGUCCUUUGCAGCAGUUCCCUUUGCCAUACCUUGGAUUACCUCUCUCCCCUAGGUCCCCUCGACGCGUCAAUUACCUGCCGAUCAUUGAGAAAAUCGAUAAUGAAAGCAAUUCUAAGUUAAGUCAAAUAAGACAAACUUUUUCGCUUUUCACUCAAACUAGACAUGGAAAACAUUGUUAGAUCUUGUAAAGCAACGACAACAAAACUAGUUAUAUGAUUUCAGUUUUCAUGAUGUUAGUUAAUUUUUUUUGUCCUUGUUGAGGGCUAAAGUGAAGCAAACAUGGAAGUUUUGGGAUCUUGAAUGUCAAACUUUAAGUUCAAGGAUCAAAAUGAAACUUGACCAAAAGUACCUGGAUUACUAGUACGAAUUAGUCAACUUUAUUAUAGUUAUACGACCUAUAUAUAUUAGUGCUAUUAUAUUUAUAUGUGGUACAUAUCUUACAGUUCAAUAUUAUGGAAGAACCAAGAAAACUUUCAGGCUGCGUUUGAUUGGAGAACUAAAUUUUGGAGAACAACUUUUGUUGUUCCCGAGAACAAGGGAUAUUCUGGUACAAGAUAGAACAAUUGUAAAUUUAUGUUUGGAUGCAUUCGAGGAUAUUCUAAAGGAUAUCCUUAAUAGCGUUUGGAUAAAAAGUCUAGAACAACGUCUAAAUAUAUUUUUAAAAAUAAAAUAAUUAAUUUAUAUUAGUAUAUUUUAUAUAAAAUUAUUUAUAAAAUUAUUUCAUAUAGUAAUUUAUAAUAUAAUAUUUUAUGUAAGAAUCUAAUUUAAAAUAAUAUAUUUUAUUUUAUUAUAUAUAAUAAUUUAUUUUAUGUAAUCAUUUAUUUUAUAUAAUUUAUUCAUAAUAUAUUAAUGAAUAAAGUAUAAUACUAACAAUAUCCCUAUAUUUUUAAUUAAUAAUUAGUAUAAAUUUCAAUACAAAUAAAAAAAUAUAUAUAAUUAAAUAUUAAAGUAUAAAUGAUAAAGUUUAAUAAAAUAAAAAAUAUAUCAAAUUUAAUUAAUUUAUAUUAUAUAAUAAAAUUUAAGUAUAAAUAUAUUAUCAUAAAAAUUUAAGUAUGAAUUUCAAUACAUAUUAAAAUAUAUAUAUAAUAUAUGAAAAAAUAAUUUUAUGUAUAUAAUACUUAAUAUAAAAUAAAAUAAUUAAAUAUUAAUAUAUAAAUGAUAAAACUUAAUAAAAUAAAAAAUAUAUCAAAUUUAAUUAAUUUAUAUAAUAUAAUAAAAUUUAAGUAUAAAUAUAUUGUCAUAAAAAUAAUAUUUAUAUUAAUAUAUGUAUUAUUUAUUAAAUUUGAGCAUUUAUUUAAUUUAUUUGAAAUUAAUUAAAAUAAAGUAUAAAAAAAAUAAAAUGGCAUAAAAAGAAAAAAAGAGACAAAAAAAAUAAGUUCCGGCUUGUUCUCCAUUUCAUGGAGAACAAUCUUAACGGGUUGUUCCCGGAACAACCCGUUAAGCCUGGAACAACCGGGUUGUUCCAUUUUGCAUUGCGUUUGGAGGGACAACGGGGAUAUCCGGCCUUGUUCUGAGAUAUACUUCCAACCAAACGCAGCCUCAGUGAUUUGCCAAUCAAAACUGAUCAAGACACUCUUAGAGAAGGCUAUCGGAAUGUUGCAUUAACUGCCACUACUUUUUUCAUGUAAUUAGCUUUCAAGUGAAUGAUAGUGCUCUGCUAUUUGCUAAUGUCCAUUCAAUAAGGUGAAAGCUCUCCUGGCUGAUGACACUUUUGAACAUUCUUCCUGGUUGACACCUUCGAACAUUCUUUAUUGUUUAAGUCUGUUGUCUAUGCAAUUAGUAAUUUCUCAUAUUAUUUCUGCAGGAGCCUUAAACUUGCAAAUGGAUAGCAUGUAGAAACACCCAAUAGGAUUAUUAUACAUGAUCUUGAAACACUGAAUAAGUUGAAUGUUACUUGAUCAUACAUGAUUUAGAGGUUGUCAUGUGAUGUGGUUUUCUAGCAGAGAUGGAAAAGCUAGCUGAGGAAAGGUAUUAUCUUG